UACGCAGGGAGCAAGCGUUAUCCGGAUUUAUUGGGUGUAAAGGGUGCGUAGACGGAGGAGCAAGUUAGUUGUGAAAUCCCUCGGCUUAACUGAGGAACUGCAACUAAAACUACUUCCCUUGAGUACUGGAGAGGAAAGUGGAAUUCCUAGUGUAGCGGUGAAAUGCGUAGAUAUUAGGAGGAACACCAGUGGCGAAGGCGACUUUCUGGACAGUAACUGACGUUGAGGCACGAAAGUGUGGGGAGCAAACAGG
rnacentral:rRNA from 1 species